rnacentral:misc_RNA from 1 species
GUUGUAGCAUUAGCACUUUUAUUUGCAAAUCCUUUUGUUUAAUUUAAUCCGAAAAUUAGAAAUGUGAAAACGUACGUUAUGCGCUUCUUUCUUAGUCUUAGUUUAUUUUAUUAACUUGGACUUGCCGUUUGCUUCUUCUAAUUAUAUCAACACUUUAAUCCUAACAAUUACUUAUGAGACAAUACCCCGGAAAGGGCUUAUUUGAGGAUGAGGAAUUCACGGAUCCGAUCGCUUUCUUCCUUCCCAUUCCCACCCUUAGUACAAGGGAAACCCCUUAUUAAGAAACGUUUCAACAAACGAAAUAUUUUGCAAUUGGUGUGAGGCCUAAGACCUAACCUAAUAAGUAUCUUAAUUAU